GUGACAGCUGGAGUUAUAGGGGCCAGGCCAGCCCGCGGCGCACCGGGAGACCAUUCCGCGCCGCGAUGUGGGAACCCUGUUUCGACCCGAGUUUCAACGACGUCAUCAUACGAGAUAUCUUAGCGCAGGAAGGAGUAAAACGGCUUUCGGAGCUUUCCUGGACUCACAAAUUUUCACCCGAAGGUGCUUAGCCAACUGGUGAGCUCCUUUGGCGGCGCGUGCAACUCGCGCGUCUCUCACGCCCCGUGGCCCGGCCCAGCCCGCGCCACGCACCGCAGCGCCACAGCGAGGAGAGAAGAAUUCCAUCCAGCCUCAAUUGUUGGAACGAAUAACGUGGUUGUAACUAUCAUGUGUGAGUCUUGUGGUGCAGAGUUUGUUCCACCAAACCCGAGUGGCGAGAAGUUUGCAGCGGGCAGCUUGCCUAACCAUCGAUUAAGCCGCUCAGCCAGACGCGCACGGGUACAGAGAAGAAAACUAAAAUACGCAUCUCUGAACGAAAUAAUUGAAGCAAAGCAGUUGGGUCGGCCUGAUUAAUAAUCAAGAGUAUAACUACUGACAAGCACAAUGGAAGUGUUGGUCACCACGGAGUAAAGAAUU